rnacentral:lncRNA from 1 species
CUCUUCACUCUUAUCUCUUUCUUCCCCAGCACAAGCGCUGUAUCCCGGCCUCGCUGGACGCUUACUACUCAUCCCAGGACCCCAGCUCCAGGAGCCGCUUCUACACAGUCAUCAGCCACUACAGCGUGGCCAAGCAGAGCACUGCCCGGGCCAUCGGGCCAUGGCUGUCAGCAGCUGCUGUCAUCCACGAGCCCAAGCCACCCAAGACGCAGGGCCAUUAGAGGCCUGCCCCAGCUGGGAUGGGGGGUUGUGGAGAAGGGAAUGCCCCCCGCUAGUUAAGCAAGGCUGGAGCUACAAGACAACACUGUACUGCUGGGGUACGGGGUGGGGGCGGGGCAGGAUGGGGUCUGGGGAGAACUCCCCAAAAAUAUUGUGCACUGGAGUUGU